rfam:Edhazardia aedis TSNM 41457 supercont1.29, whole genome shotgun sequence.
GGUGCGAUGGCCGAGUGGUCUAAGGCGCUAGCUUUAGGCGCUAGUCUUCGGGCGAGGGUUCGAAUCCCUCUCGCACCA